UGGUUUUUCUUUGGGGGAGUUUUCGUAUGUCAUCUCUGCGUUUGCCAAUUUCCUCGUGUGUUUAUUAUUUCUUUCAUCUGUCAUCAUGACCCUCGUCACUCAAGGUCAGAGGCCAAGAGUGUUCACCGUUAUACUUGAUCUCGAAGGAUGAACACGAGAGAACACACUCCGGCAGCGGUUCGAGUUAAUGGUCACUGAUGUAGUCCAUUACAAACUUUUUUUCCCCUUUAGAAUAUCUACUACCUUUACACUCGCCAAAUGUAAGUAUUUUCUCUCUUUUCAGUUAAUGAAUCAUGAUGAAUAUCUUUGAUGUACGAUAAAAGGAUCAUAUCAGAAACGUCGCAUAACCUUGAUUCACUUUCCUUUAUUGUCCGGCGUCGUGUCAAUUCGCUUCGCCCCGAUUGCAGUCGUUGGCCAAAUGCAAUCAGAACGACCCCGCUGGGAAGGUCAUAGCAAUCAUAUUUAACAGAGUCGCAGCGGGUCGUGAUUGGCAUCCGCUUUAAUCAUUUUAGUUGUUGGCAGCAGCGUAUAACAAUCACGAGUCCUUCCAGAUCAGGUCAGGAAUGCUGUUAUGAUUUCCUCGGCCGCCAUGAUGACCUCGAAUCGGAGUUUUAAUUGAUACUCGAGAGGAGGUUUCGGCGGAAGGCAGUCUUAGCCAACAUGUCUCCUUGGAAAGCGAGGGAUCGACAGCGAGAGCAACAGGACAGCUGUUAUUCCGUCUCGCUGCCUUUUGACAAAUAAACUUGAAAAAA